UACGGAGGGUGCAAGCGUUAUCCGGAUUCACUGGGUUUAAAGGGAGCGCAGGCGGAUUUGUAAGUCAGUGGUGAAAGGCUUAAGCUUAACUUGGGAACUGCCAUUGAUACUAUAAGUCUUGAAUGUUGUUGAGGUUUGCGGAAUGGGUCAUGUAGCGGUGAAAUGCGUAGAGAUGUGGAGGAACACCGAUGGCGAAGGCAGCCCCCUGGGCUAACACUGACGCUCAUGCACGAAAGCGUGGGGAGCAAACAGG
rnacentral:rRNA from 1 species